rnacentral:rRNA from 1 species
CGCUAUCAUGCAGUCGACGAGGUAGCAUACCUAGUGGCGCACGGGUGAGGAACGCGUGGAUAAUCUGCCAUUCAGUGGGGGAUAACUAUCCGAAAGGAUAGCUAAUACCGCAUAAGGCCACAGUGACUGCGGUCACAGGGGUUAAAGGAGUAAUUCGCUGAUUGAUGAGUCUGCGUGGGAUUAGCUAGUUGGUGAGGUAAUGGCUCACCAAGGCGACGAUCUCUAGCUGGUCUGAGAGGAUGGCCAGCCACACUGGAACUGAGACACGGUCCAGACUCCUACGGGAGGCAGCAGUAGGGAAUAUUGCACAAUGGGGGAAACCCUGAUGCAGCGACGCCGCGUGAGUGAUGAAGGCCUUCGGGUCGUAAAGCUCUGUUGUCCGAGACGAAAAAAAUGACGGUAUCGGGUGAGGAAGGACCGGCUAACUUCGUGCCAGCAGCCGCGGUAAUACGAGGGGUCCUAGCGUUGUUCGGAAUCAUUGGGCGUAAAGAGUAUGUAGGCGGCCUUGUAAGUCAGGUGUGAAAGCCCCGGGCUCAACCCGGGAAGUGCACUUGAUACUGCUUGGCUUGAAUGUUGGAGAGGAUAGUAGAAUUCCAGGUGUAGUGGUGAAAUACGUAGAUAUCUGGAGGAAUACCGGUGGCGAAGGCGGCUAUCUGGCCAAACAUUGACGCUGAGAUACGAAAGCGUGGGUAGCAAACAGGAUUAGAUACCCUGGUAGUCCACGCCGUAAACGAUGGGCACUUGGUGUUGGAGGUAUUGACCCCUUCAGUGCCGAAGCUAACGCGAUAAGUGCCCCGCCUGGGGAGUACGGCCGCAAGGUUAAAACUCAAAGAAAUUGACGGGGGCCCGCACAAGCGGUGGAGCAUGUGGUUUAAUUCGAUGCAACGCGAAAAACCUUACCUGGGCUCGAAAUGUAGUGGAAGACAGUAGAGAUAUUGUCGCCUUCGGGCCGCUAUAUAGGUGCUGCAUGGCUGUCGUCAGCUCGUGUCGUGAGAUGUUGGGUUAAGUCCCGCAACGAGCGCAACCCCUGUCUUUAGUUGCCAGCAUUCAGUUGGGCACUCUAAAGAGACUGCCGACGUUAAGUCGGAAGAAGGUGGGGAUGACGUCAAGUCCUCAUGGCCCUUAUGUCCAGGGCUACACACGUGCUACAAUGGUAGAUACAGANGGUUGCCNAACCGUAAGGGGAACCNAUCCCGUAAAGUCUAUCUAAGUNCAAAUNGAGNUCUGCACUCGACCUCAUGAAGGUGNAUCGCUAGUAAUCCCG